CGACCCCAGGUCAGUCGGGACUACCCGCUGAGUUUAAGCAUAUAAAUAAGCGGAGGAGAAGAAACUUACGAGGAUUCCCCUAGUAACGGCGAGCGAACCGGGAGCAGCCCAGCUUGAGAAUCGGGCGGCCUCGCCGCCCGAAUUGUAGUCUGGAGAGGCGUCCUCAGCGACGGACCGGGCCCAAGUUCUCUGGAAAGGGACGCCUGGGAGGGUGAGAGCCCCGUCCGGCCCGGACCCUGUCGCACCACGAGGCGCCGUCAACGAGUCGGGUUGUUUGGGAAUGCAGCCCAAAUCGGGCGGUAAACUCCGUCCAAGGCUAAAUACAGGCGAGAGACCGAUAGCGAACAAGUACCGCGAGGGAAAGAUGAAAAGGACUUUGAAAAGAGAGUCAAAGAGUGCUUGAAAUUGCCGGGAGGGAAGCGGAUGGGGGCUGGCGACGCGCACCGGCCGUAUGCGGAACGGCUCCUGCUGGUC
rnacentral:ncRNA from 1 species